rnacentral:misc_RNA from 1 species
CGCACAUUGCGCCCAUUAGUAUUCUAUUGGGCAUGCCUGUUCGAGCGUCAUUUCAACCCUCAAGCCUCGUCGCUUGGUGAUGGGAGCCUACUGGCACUGCCUGUAGCUCCUCAAAGUGAGUGGCGGAGUUCGUCCCAACUCUAGGCGUAGUACAUCUAUCUCGCCUCUGCAGUGGUUCGGGCCCUUGCCGUAAAACACCCCAAAUCUAAAGGUUGACCUCGGAUCAGGUAGGAAUACCCGCUGAACUUAA